rnacentral:rRNA from 1 species
AUUGAACGCUGGCGGCAGGCCUAACACAUGCAAGUCGAACGAAUGGCGGACGGGUGGAUAAUGUCUGGGAAACUGCCUAAUGGAGGCGUAUAACUGCUGGAAACGGUAGCUAAUAGCGCAUACGAUCGGUUGGGCUCACAGGGGAUUAGCUAGUAGGGGUGGUAAAGGCUCACCUAGGCGUCGAUCCCUAGCCGGUCUGAGAGGAUGACCGGCCACACUGGAACUGAGACACGGCCCAGACUCCUACGGGAGGCAGCAGUGGGGAAUCUUGCACAAUGGGCGAAAGCCUGACCCAGCAAUGCCGCGUGAGUGAAGAAGGUUUUCGGGUCGUAAAGCUCUGUUAUUAGGGAAGCGGUAUCUAACCAAAAAGCAACGGCUAACUUCGUGCCAGCAGCCGCGGUAAUUC